CAAAAUAAACAAGAUGGCGGAUCUAAACGCCCCUCUGAGGUGAUUUGUGACGUCACCUGCUUGCAAUUUGUCAAGCGCCUGUUGACAAAAUAUGAUCAAUAACAAAGAGUUUUGAAGUUUUACGAUAAUCGUCGUCAGGAUGUUCAUCAUGAAGAGUGAAGAAACAUUACAGAAAUUACAAGAAUCAUCAGAAUACAGGUCCAUGUAUAGAGAAAUCAUUCGUACUCAAAUACAAACCUUGAUUGACCAUCUGGCAGUAGCAGGAGAAGAAAGUGUGUUAUUAACAGCUUGUACUGAGGAAAAUGAUGUCACAGGAAAGUCAAUAAUUGUUGGGACCGAGCUUGGACAAGAUUUUCUUACUCAGGAAAAUGUGCUAUGUAAAUUUAAAGAAUUUUGUUUGCAGAAAAAA